UACAGAGGGUGCGAGCGUUAAUCGGAAUUACUGGGCGUAAAGCGUGCGUAGACGGUAGCGUAAGUCAGAUGUGAAAGCCCCGGGCUCAACCUGGGAAUUGCAUUUGAGACUGCUCUGCUCGGGUGCGGAAGAGGGAAGCGGAAUUUCCGGUGUAGCGGUGAAAUGCGUAGAUAUCGGAAGGAACACCAGUGGCGAAAGCGGCUUCCUGGUCCGACACCAACGUUCAGGCACGAAAGCGUGGGGAGCAAACAGG
rnacentral:rRNA from 1 species